UGGGGAAUAUUGGACAAUGGGCGAAAGCCUGAUCCAGCCAUGCCGCGUGUGUGAAGAAGGUCUUCGGAUUGUAAAGCACUUUAAGUUGGGAGGAAGGGCAUUAACCUAAUACGUUAGUGUUUUGACGUUACCGACAGAAUAAGCACCGGCUAACUCUGUGCCAGCAGCCGCGGUAAUACAGAGGGUGCAAGCGUUAAUCGGAAUUACUGGGCGUAAAGCGCGCGGAGGUGGUUUGUUAACUUGGAUGUGAAAUCCCCGGGCUCAACCUGGGAACUGCAUUCAAAACUGACUGACUAGAGUAUGGUAGAGGGUGGUGGAAUUUCCUGUGUAGCGGUGAAAUGCGUAGAUAUAGGAAGGAACACCAGUGGCGAAGGCGACCACCUGGACUAAUACUGACACUGAGGUGCGAAAGCGUGGGGAGCAAACA
rnacentral:rRNA from 1 species